rnacentral:rRNA from 1 species
GACGUAGGGCGCGAGCGUUGUCCGGAUUUAUUGGGCGUAAAGAGCUCGUAGGCGGCUUGUUGCGUCGUUCGUGAAAUCCCGUGGCUCAACUGCGGGCUUGCGGACGAUACGGGCAGGCUAGAAUUCGGUAGGGGAGACUGGAAUUCCUGGUGUAGCGGUGAAAUGCGCAGAUAUCAGGAGGAACACCGGUGGCGAAGGCGGGUCUCUGGGCCGAUAUUGACGCUGAGGAGCGAAAGCGUGGGGAGCGAACAGGAUUAGAUACCCUGGUAGUCCACGCUGUAAACGUUGGGCGCUAGGUGUGGGGGGCCUCUCCGGUUUCCUGCGCCGUAGCUAACGCAUUAAGCGCCCCGCCUGGGGAGUACGGCCGCAAGGCUAAA